rnacentral:rRNA from 1 species
UGCGUAGGUGGUGAGGUAAGUCGGAUGUGAAAGCUCCGAGCUCAACUCGGAAAUGGCAUUGGAAACUACCUUGCUAGAGGGUUUGAGGGGGGACUGGAAUACUUGGUGUAGCAGUGAAAUGCGUAGAUAUCAAGUAGAACACCAGUGGCGAAGGCGAGUCCCUGGAAAACUCCUGACACUGAGGCACGAAAGCUAGGGAGCAAACA